GGGGGCGCACUGGUUUCGACGGGAUUGUUGAGACUGGGGUAGCGGGUAGAGGAUUCUCGUAGGCCUCUUAAAAAACGAGAAACUAAAAUUAAACGCUAAAAACGAUAAUUACAAUUACGCGUUAGCAGCUUAAGGCUGCUAAUCCGUCGGUCCAGGGUUCCUGCACCUUGGGUAGCCGGCGUCAUUAAGUCAGGCCUUCGGCAUAGGAAGGUUAAAUGCUGGAACUGUCUCGGUGGUAGCCUUGAGCCGGGAUGGAUUUAAAGGAUACUGAAAGCGGCACCCUGCUUGUGGGGGACCGCCGUAGGGAAUGUAAAAACACAAGCUGCACCCGGAGAAGCUCUUGAGGAUAUGGUUUCGGACAGGGGUUCAAUUCCCCUCGCCUCCACCA
rnacentral:tmRNA from 1 species